UAGUAGCGGCGAGCGAAGCGGGAAGAGCUCAAAUUUAUAAUCUGGCACCUUCGGUGUCCGAGUUGUAAUCUCUAGAAGUGUUUUCCGCGUUGGACCGCACACAAGUCUGUUGGAAUACAGCGGCAUAGUGGUGAAACCCCCGUAUAUGGUGCGGACGCCCAGCGCUUUGUGAUACACUUUCAAUGAGUCGAGUUGUUUGGGAAUGCAGCUCAAAUUGGGUGGUAAAUUCCAUCUAAAGCUAAAUAUUGGCGAGAGACCGAUAGCGAACAAGUACCGUGAGGGAAAGAUGAAAAGCACUUUGGAAAGAGAGUUAACAGUACGUGAAAUUGUUGGAAGGGAAACGCUUGAAGUCAGACUUGCUUGCCGGAGCUUGCUUCGGUUUGCAGGCCAGCAUCAGUUUUCCGGGGUGGAUAAUGACGGUUUGAAGGUAGCAGUCUCGGCUGUGUUAUAGCUUUCCGUUGGAUACAUCCU
rnacentral:rRNA from 1 species